rnacentral:rRNA from 1 species
ACUCAAAUGAAUUGACGGGGGCCCGCACAAGCGGUGGAGCAUGUGGUUUAAUUCGAUGCAACGCGAAGAACCUUACCUACCCUUGACAUCCUACGAAUUACUCAGAGAUGAGUGAGUGCCGAAAGGAACGUAGAGACAGGUGCUGCAUGGCUGUCGUCAGCUCGUGUUGUGAGAUGUUGGGUUAAGUCCCGUAACGAGCGCAACCCUUAUCCUUAGUUGCCAACACGUAAUGGUGGGGACUCUAAGGAGACUGCCGGUGAUGAACCGGAGGAAGGUGGGGACGACGUCAAGUCAUCAUGGCCUUUAUGGGUAGGGCUACACACGUGCUACAAUGGACGGUACAGAGGGUCGCGAACUCGCGAGAGGGAGCCAAUCUCAGAAAGCCGUUCGUAGUCCGGAUUGAAGUCUGCAACUCGACUUCAUGAAGUCGGAAUCGCUAGUAAUCGCGAAUCAGAAUGUCGCGGUGAAUACGUUCCCGGGCCUUGUACACACCGCCCGU